rnacentral:rRNA from 1 species
GAUGAACGCUGGCGGCGUGCCUAAUACAUGCAAGUCGAGCGAACGGACGAGAAGCUUGCUUUUCUGAUGUUAGCGGCGGACGGGUGAGUAACACGUGGAUAACCUACCUAUAUGACUGGGAUAACUUCGGGAAACCGGAGCUAAUACCGGAGAAUAUUUUGAACCGCAUGGUUCAAAAGUGAAAGACGGUCUUGCUGUCACUUAUAGAUGGAUCCGCGCUGCAUUAGCUAGUUGGUAAGGUAACGGCUUACCAAGGCAACGAUGCAUAGCCGAACUGAGAGGGUGAUCGGCCACACUGGAACUGAGACACGGUCCAGACUCCUACGGGAGGCAGCAGUAGGGAAUCUUCCGCAAUGGGCGAAAGCCUGACGGAGCAACGCCGCGUGAGUGAUGAAGGUCUUCGGAUCGUAAAACUCUGUUAUUAGGGAAGAACAUAUGUGUAAGUAACUGUGCACAUCUUGACGGUACCUAAUCAGAAAGCCACGGCUAACUACGUG